rnacentral:rRNA from 1 species
ACGAAGGGUGCAAGCGUUACUCGGAAUUACUGGGCGUAAAGCGUGCGUAGGUGGUUCGUUAAGUCUGGUGUGAAAGCCCUGGGCUCAACCUGGGAAUGGCAUUGGAAACUGGCGACCUAGAGUGCGGUAGAGGGUAGUGGAAUUCCCGGUGUAGCAGUGAAAUGCGUAGAUAUUGGGAGGAACACCGGUGGCGAAGGCGGCUACCUGGACCGGUUCUGACGCUGAUGCGCGAAAGCGUGGGUAGCAAACAGGA